GAUGAACGCUGGCGGCGUGCCUAUUACAUGCAAGUCGAGCGAACAGAUGAGGAGCUUGCUCCUCUGACGUUAGCGGCGGACGGGUGAGUAACACGUGGAUAACCUACCUAUAAGACUGGGAUAACUUCGGGAAACCGGAGCUAAUACCGGAUAAUAUAUUGAACCGCAUGGUUCAAUAGUGAAAGACGGUUUUGCUGUCACUUAUAGAUGGAUCCGCGCCGCAUUAGCUAGUUGGUAAGGUAACGGCUUACCAAGGCGACGAUGCAUAGCCGACCUGAGAGGGUGAUCGGCCACACUGGAACUGAGACACGGUCCAGACUCCUACGGGAGGCAGCAGUAGGGAAUCUUCCGCAAUGGGCGAAAGCUUGACGGAGCAACGCCGCGUGAGUGAUGAAGGUCUUCGGAUCGUAAAACUCUGUUAUUAGGGAAGAACAAAUGUGUAAGUAACUAUGCACGUCUUGACGGUACCUAAUCAGAAAGCCACGGCUAACUACGUG
rnacentral:rRNA from 1 species